rnacentral:misc_RNA from 1 species
AACUUUCGGCAACGGAUCACUUGGUUCUCGCAUCGAUGAAGAACGCAGCGAAACGCGAUGGGUAAUGUGAAUUGCAGAAUUCCGUGAAUCAUCGAAUCUUUGAACGCACAUUGCGCCUUCUGGUAUUCCGGUAGGCAUGUCUGUUUGAGCGUCAGCAAACUCCCUCAGCUCAAGUAUUUUAUAGUACGAAGAGUUGGUCUUGGGCAGCGGAUGCCGGUGGUAAUUUCUCCACCUGCGCCCUCCCUAAACUUGCUGCACGACCGCAAGCCCCUUCUAGCCAGGUCAAUGGAGUGGUGUUACAAUCUUCCAAAAAGCCUGCUGGUAACCGCUUCGUGGCGUUAAACCCAGAUGUCCCCUCACAGGGACUGAAGUUUUGACCUCAGAUCAGACAAGGAUACCCGCUGAACUUAAGCAUAUCAAUAAGCGGAGGCU